UUUAGUAGAAGAGUUUAAAAAUUUUGUUAAAGAUCAAUAACGCGAUGUUUUUAGUGUACAUUUUUUUUAUGGUGAAAUUGUAAAAGGUGAUGUUAGUUGUGUAUUUCAAGGUCGACAAAGAGUAGGUGUAACAACCUGUUUUCCAGUGGUGUCAGAAACAGUAGUUUUGGGGUCACAAAUCCAACGAGUAGGUUUGUAAAUAUU
rnacentral:lncRNA from 1 species